rnacentral:rRNA from 1 species
AUUGAACGCUGGCGGCAGGCCUAACACAUGCAAGUCGAACGAGUGGCGGACGGGUGAGUAAGGUCUGGGAAACUGACCGAUGGAGGGGGAUAACUACUGGAAACGGUAGCUAAUACCGCAUACCAUCGGAUGUGCCCAGAUGGGAUUAGCUGGUAGGUGGUGUAACGGCUCACCUGGGCGACGAUCCCUAGCUGGUCUGAGAGGAUGACCAUCCCCACUGGAACUUAGACACGGUCCAGCCUCCUACAUGACACAACGUUGUCAAAUAUUGCACAGUGGGCGCAAGCCUGAUCCAGCCAUGCCGCGUGUAUGAAGAAGACCUUCGGGUUUUAAAGUACUUUCAGCGAGGAGGCGUUACUCGCAGAAGAAGCACCGGCUAACUCCGUGCCAGCAGCCGCGGUAAUUC